rnacentral:pre_miRNA from 1 species
GUACUACUUCCUCUGUUCCGAAUUACUUGUCUUGGAUUUGUCUAGAUAUGGAUGUAUCUAGACUCAUUUUAGUGCUAGAGAAAGACAACUCCAAGACAAGUAAUUCGGAACGGAGGGAGUAGUAA